GUGAACAUAGUUUAACUAAAACCUUAGGCUGUGGCUCUAAAAAUGAGGGCUAACACCCCUCUGUUCACCG
rnacentral:tRNA from 1 species